AUUGAACGCUGGCGGCAGGCCUAACACAUGCAAGUCGAGCGGAUGAAGGGAGCUUGCUCCUGGAUUCAGCGGCGGACGGGUGAGUAAUGCCUAGGAAUCUGCCUGGUAGUGGGGGAUAACGUCCGGAAACGGGCGCUAAUACCGCAUACGGCCUGAGGGAGAAAGUGGGGGAUCUUCGGACCUCACGCUAUCAGAUGAGGCUAGGUCGGAUUAGCUAGUUGGUGGGGUAAAGGCCUACCAAGGCGACGAUCCGUAACUGGUCUGAGAGGAUGAUCAGUCACACUGGAACUGAGACACGGUCCAGACUCCUACGGGAGGCAGCAGUGGGGAAUAUUGGACAAUGGGCGAAAGCCUGAUCCAGCCAUGCCGCGUGUGAGAAGAAGGUCUUCGGAUUGUAAAGCACUUUAAGUUGGGAGGAAGGGCAGUAAGUUAAUACCUUGCUGUUUUGACGUUACCAACAGAAUAAGCACCGGCUAACUUCGUG
rnacentral:rRNA from 1 species